UAGCCUGCAGCGGGGACUGAGCGCACGGGAGGCGGCAGGAGGCGCGCGAGAGCAUGGGGCAGCGGCCAGUGGGGCGAGGGGAGCGCUCAUGCCUGCAGGAGCUGGGAGCGGCGGCCGCGAUGGCGGGGCCUGUGAGCUACGGCCGCGGCGCGCGAGGGUAGUGCCUGCGGGCCAGGCGGUGGCGGCGCUCGAGCGGGGUAAGCGGCUGCCUGUCCGUGUGCUGGGCCGAGCUCCUGUAGCUGGCUGAGCGGCUGCUAGGCUCAACGGCUGGCUGAGCCAGCGGCAGCAGGACCUGCUGCUUCCGUACCCGCAAAUCUGGCGAUUGAGGUUAGAACUAGGGGAUGAAACAAUUCUUAAAAAAAAACUAUGGGAUGAAACUUCGCUGCAGCUGAUUGCGUUCAGUCAUUUUUAUGAGUACCGUGGACUUAUUUUUCAAGCUCAAGAAUGCUAUGGAAAUGGAAAGGGGUGAAACCCCAGAAGAAGGUGAAGAAUCCAAAUCUGCAGAUGAGAUUGUGUGUGGAGUUCGGUGUGAGUAUUGUCAAUCAAGCAAGUUCAUAGAGAAUAUGGGUAUCCAUUUAGCUGGUUCAAAUAGACCUACCACAAGCACUUCCAUUGUACUUGUUACUAUUGGCCAAUACUGUCCUUAGCUUCAUCUAUGAGAGAACAACAGUUGGAUAAUGAACUAGACAAUUGAAAAUAUUAGAUUUGUAUGAUCUCGUGGUUGUCUAGAGAUUUAUGGUAGACUAAUUCAAGCAUGGAUGUCUGAAGCAUUAAUAUUUGGAUCAUACAUGUACUUGGAUGUGCACUGGAGUAAUAUGUGGGUUAUAUAUAUGUAUGGAUGUGUGCUGGAAUGAAAA